rnacentral:lncRNA from 1 species
CCCUUUGCAAUGUACUGUACACACACGUGCUGUUAUUUCCCCUGCUCAAAGAGGCGCUGAGGCCAUGGCAGAAGGAGCUUGACCGUUGACCUCAACCGCCGUGCUCAGUUCAGUUCCAUUAGUCACUCCCUGUUUUAUUACAUGUUAUUUCGUUUGUUGCCUAAUGAAUAGGACACUACUGUUCUGACCUAAGAAGAGCUCAGGCCUCUCAAGAACAUUCUAGAAGCUCAUAGACGGUCGGCGACUUGGACUGAAUUCUGCGGAUUUAGUGCGGGGAAGAUGGCAGGAAGUGGCCCUAUUGUUUUCAGGGUCACCCCGUUUUCCUUUCACGGCCGUGGAAGGCCCCGCUCUCUCUCCCUCAAGGAUCAAACAUCUUAACAAAACAGAAAACCUUUCAGACCUAUCUUGUACGUUCCCAUCCGUCAGCGAAAGACCUUUUGGGAGAUUGAAGGGCAUGUGUAUGGCCCAGCCUGAGUUCUCCUUCCAUGUAACAUCAGACCCUUCUUUAAAUGAGUUCAUGUUUAAUGUGUAUUACCAGAAAGUGUUAGUGUAGGACAGACAACUAUUGUGUGUAAACAUAAAGACGUGCAGGACAAAGCAUGUCAUUUCUUAGCAACCUUGUCUUUAUUGCAUGGCAAUAUUGACUGCGGCCGGGCCUGGUCUGAUAUCAUUGGGUUAGGCCAGUGUAAGUAGGAGGGAGAAACAAUUGCCCAAAUGUUGUCACCUAGUAACUCAUUAACCUGUCCUUCAGAACAGGAUUGAGUCUAAGUCAGCUCUUUCAACCUUCGCAUGACGCACCUCCAUUUUGUAGCAUAGGUGAAAACAAACGAACGGCCACAAUGUUGCUUCGAUGUGAGCUAUAAGGAAGAGGAUUAUAUUGUUGCUGUUGUUACCUGGGUUUCAGGUGCUGACAGAACAAGCAGACCAGGAAGUGGGGAACCAUGGGGUCCUGGGUCCUUGGUCUGUGUAUGGUUUUGUGUUUCUGGGGAACAGUUAGCGGGAACAAGCUUCACAGCCACACUGUUGGCCGGUGUACUGUCAAUACUGGCACAGCAUCAUUCAACUGCAGUCAGAGGAAACUUGCACAUAUUCCACCAGAGAUAUGGGACAAUGCAACUACACUUGACCUCUCCCAGAACGAGCUCAACCUCACUAACCCUCAACACCUACGACAAUUAAAUAGAUUGGAUCAGUUGGUUACCCUAAAUCUCUCAGGCAACUACCUCCCUCUGCUGGAGAAAAGCCACCUCUGCAGUCUGCUCUUCCUGCAGAUUCUAGACCUCAGUGACUGCCAACUGGCCUCGAUAGAAGCUGGAGCUCUGCAGAGUUUACCUAGGAAUCAGAAAACCAUUCCAUAG